GAUUGUUUUAGCAAGCGGCGUAUAGCCCCGAGUGAAGUGUGAUCUCCAUAACUAGAGAACAUCGCUCGAGAACCACACAUCGCGUUAAAUCAUUCAUUGCAAGCAAUACCAAAAAAGGGAUCAUAUUUAACAACAAAAACAUUUCUUCCGCAUUCACAAAUCGUGUUUUUACGCGUUUGGGGUUUACAAAGAAAACGUCAGAGACGAAUGCUCAGUGCUUCGAGCACAGCAUUUCUGCCAAUCAGGGCAGAUCAAUUGUGAAAAGUAAAUAACAGCUGGCGCUGUGUGACCACGACCUGAAGAGGAAUGUUACACAUCAUAUUUAGAAGAAUUAAUUUGCCCUAAAGACUUCAAUAACAAAGAUUCGGGCAUGCCAGGCUUGCGGAAAGAACGACUACAUAACAACGAUUUAGCCCGUUUCAAGUACUGAGCCCAUGAUAUGCAUCGAUUGAGAUUGUGUCUAUAAUCGCCCCUUUGUUAACACAACUGGCAGGCCAAUUGCAUUGUAAAGACGUUUGGGAAAUGUUGUAUGUCUUUUAAUGCAAUCUUAUUGACAGCGUUAUUUACAGAUUGUGGAUUUUGUGGUUAUUACCUGGAAAUGCAACAACAUACUUUCGUGAAUUAAGUUAAAAUAAUUGGCGUUUGUUAAGUGACGCAUUUCAUUCACAGAUCCCACAAAUGCGCGU